UACGGAGGGUGCAAGCGUUGUCCGGAUUUAUUGGGUUUAAAGGGUGCGUAGGUGGCGUCUUAAGUCUGGUUUGAAAGCAGGCGGCUCAACCGUCUGAUGUGGCUGGAAACUGGGGUGCUUGAAUGGGAUGGCGGUAGCCGGAACGGGUCAUGUAGCGGUGAAAUGCGUAGAUAUCGAGAGGAACACCUGCGGCGAAGGCGGGUUGCUGGGCUGACACUGACGCUGAUGCGCGAAAGCCAGGGGAGCGAACGGG
rnacentral:rRNA from 1 species